GUGCUCACUUCGGCAGCACGUGUACUAAAAUUGGAACGAUACAGAGAAGAUUAGCAUGGCCCCUGCAGAAGGAUGACACACAAAUUCAUGAAGCAUUCUGUAUUUUU
rnacentral:snRNA from 1 species